rnacentral:rRNA from 1 species
UUUUUGUUUGAUCAUGGCUCAGAUUGAACGCUGGCGGCAUGCUUUACACAUGCAAGUCGAACGGUAGCGCGUGGUAACAUGGUGGCGAGUGGCGAACGGGUGAGUAAUACAUCGGAACGUGCCCAGAAGUGGGGGAUAACGAAGCGAAAGUUUCGCUAAUACCGCAUACGAUCUACGGAUGAAAGCGGGGGACCGUAAGGCCUCAUGCUCUUGGAGCGGCCGAUGUCUGAUUAGCUAGUUGGUGAGGUAAAGGCUCACCAAGGCGACGAUCAGUAGCUGGUCUGAGAGGACGACCAGCCACACUGGGACUGAGACACGGCCCAGACUCCUACGGGAGGCAGCAGUGGGGAAUUUUGGACAAUGGGCGCAAGCCUGAUCCAGCAAUGCCGCGUGCGUGAUGAAGGCCUUCGGGUUGUAAAGCUCUUUUGUCAGGGAAGAAACGACUCCAUGCUAAUAUCCUGGGGUUAAUGACGGUACCGAAGAUAGACGACCCC